CAUCCAUAAGUUUGCCAAGGUUGGUAUAUUUGCUAGUCCUAUGGAUUUUGUCAUAUAAACCAUACUUCAAAUAGAUCACCAGCAAUAGCAUUUAGAAAUGACCAGUUGAAAUCCAACCAAUCAUCAAGCAAAAGGUGUAUUGGUUUUGAAUGAAUUUUUUACUUUCCAAUUAUAGAAUUUUUUUAAUCUCACAAAUUUUAUGAUUGAAAUUUAUUGAGUGAUACAACUUGGAUUGGGAAUAUUUUCAUUCAUAUUGCUAACUACUGAUUCUUAUCUUGUAAUCACUCUAUUUGGGAUUUAUGCUGCAUCUAAACACACAACUGCAUGCUGACAAUAUUAUGAAAUGUGGUUUUCUGGAAUGAGAAAAUGUUCCAAAACCGAAAGUUCUAGACUAUAAAUUGCAUGAUAUAAUGGCUGUUCAAUUUGACGUUUAGUAGGGGCACCAUCCAGCAUUUGGCCCAAAACUCAAAAAGCUAAUGAAACUUUUCACUCGGCCAGUCAAAUGCCAAAUACUUCAGUACUGACAUGAAUCUUUUUGUUAUUCCAGAUUUUAGUUGUUCUGCACCAAUGGAUUUUCUCACAUUUCAUAAUAUGGGUAACAGUAUGAAUCUUUCUCCUCAGAUCAUACUCUCCCAAACUGGUAUACCAGUUUGUUUGAAUAAGAUGUUUUUGGGUCUAUAGUUGACCUCCCAUGUGUUUAAUCAUAUACCAAAACUGCUUGCAGAAAGGAUAUUUUGUGGGGGCAAUAGAUUACAAAAUACUGCAUUCUUCCUCGAAAAUGGACAGUAUAUUUUUCUUGUUGUCUUGCAGUGUCUUGUUAUAUUGUGUAGCAUAGCUAAAACUCCAUCAUCUUUCAAUCAUAACAGGAACAGAAGACUAGUUCUGUGCCGAGGCACUAUUAGGUGCAUAUUUAUUAGGACUUACUUUAUAAUUGAGGUACUUCCACCAGAAAUUAAAGUCCAAGAAAAAAAGAAAGAAAGAAAGA
rnacentral:misc_RNA from 1 species